rnacentral:rRNA from 1 species
ACAAGCAGUGGAGUAUGUGGUUUAAUUCGAAGCAACGCGAAGAACCUUACCAGGGCUUGACAUCCUCGAAGUGCAUAGAGGUAUGUACGUCCUUCGGGACGAGGAGACAGGUGGUGCAUGGUUGUCGUCAGCUCGUGUCGUGAGAUGUUGGGUUAAGUCCCGCAACGAGCGCAACCCCUGUUGUUAGUUGCCAGCAUGUAAUGAUGGGCACUCUAGCGAGACUGCCGGUAAUAAACCGGAGGAAGGUGGGGAUGACGUCAAAUCAUCAUGCCCCUUAUGACCUGGGCUACACACGUGCUACAAUGGUUGGUACAACGAGUUGCGAGUCGGUGACGGCGAGCUAAUCUCUUAAAGCCAAUCUCAGUUCGGAUUGUAGGCUGCAACUCGCCUACAUGAAGUCGGAAUCGCUAGUAAUCGCGGAUCAGCACGCCGCGGUGAAUACGUUCCCGGGCCUU